UACGGAGGGUGCAAGCGUUAUCCGGAUUUACUGGGUUUAAAGGGUGCGUAGGCGGGCUAUAUAAGACAGAUGUGAAAUCCCCGGGCUCAACCUCGGAACUGCCAUUGAUACUAUUAGCCUUGAAUUAUGUUGAGGUUGGCGGAAUAUAACAUGUAGCGGUGAAAUGCUUAGAUAUGUUAUGGAACACCGAUUGCGAAGGCAGCUGGCUAAACAUAUAUUGACGCUGAUGCACGAAAGUGUGGGUAGCGAACAGG
rnacentral:rRNA from 1 species